UUUACAUUGAUUAACCGAAUACUGACAGGAACCCAAUGAGGUAGAUACAUCUACAUUAUGCUAGAGAUGACAAGGCAAAUAAAAAUUAAAUUCCCUACGGUCAAACAGCAAGUAAGCAACACAGCCAGGCCCCAGAAUCCACGCUUCUUAGCUUCUACAAUACUCUACUGCUCAAACACGGGAAAGAGGAGAUCAAAAUGCAUGGGCUGCAGAAACAGAAUGAAGGGAACAGAGGGAAACUUUAUCAAAAAAAUUAAAACUAUAAUCAUAUUCUGAGAGAUAUAAGAUACUGCAUCUAGAGGAUAAGAGUAAAAUGAUAUGAAAAAUGACCAAAUAGAGAAUAAGAAACUCUUGGGGGAUAAAUGAAAUGAAAGCUAAACUUCAUAUUCAAUAAAAUGAUUUUAGGCCGGGCAUGGUGGCUCACGC
rnacentral:lncRNA from 1 species